CUCCCAUGUAAACUUUCAAGCCAGAAUCUGCACCCAACUUAGAUGCGAGGACAGUUGCAGCAGCUGCCUUUGCUGCCGGAUCUGGAUCAUAUCUCUGAAUGAGUUGUUGUGUAGUGUAGUAAUUUGUCUUCUCUUUAAGUUCGUCAAUUUUUGCUUGCCUCUCAGCUCGCAACCUUCCAAGAGUUUCAUGAUCCUUUCGAUCACACAUAGUCAUGAAGCUCACAAAUGCUGAAUAAGCAAGGAAUGAUAUACCAGGCAAAAGAAACAUAGGCAUGACCCGAAAUGCCCUCAUCUUCCAAUUCAAAUC
rnacentral:misc_RNA from 1 species